rnacentral:tRNA from 1 species
AAGAGAGUGGCAGAGCGAUUAUGCGGUUGGCUUGAAACCAGCAGACGGGGGUUUGAUUCCUUCCUUUCUUG